UCUUAAAUUGCCACCAGAUCUGCCUCCUUCGGAUAGUGGAAUGAAAAUAAUGCUGUGCUUGCCCCGAGCCAGGAGGAGGAUCUGGUCCAAACCACGUCAUCUUUGAGCAGCCCAGCAGCAUCAUGGAUGCAGAUGGUGGGGAUGCCUGGAGAAAUGCAAGUGCUGGAGGAUCAGAAUUCAAUAUCAGCCACUCUAAUUUCUUACAACAGUGCUCAGAAUUGGGACCAGAGGUUUCAGGAUGUGUGCGAUCAUUUCCAAGAGUUUAUUGUUGUUGGCCAAGUAGGACUUUCCAUGGAUAAGAGAAGACACAACUGGAGACAGAGAACUCCUCGUUCAACCCUAAGUGAUUCCAAUCACAUGGGAUAAUUUCAAAUGGAUCUCAGUGUGGUGAGCCAAGGAUCAUGUGCCCAUACCCUGAGACAGUGACUGAUCUGAA
rnacentral:lncRNA from 12 species